GAGCACACCCCAUCAGCAAAAACAGAUGCUACGGCUGCAUUUUUGGCUUCUCUUGAGGAGCCCAAACUUACAAGUUUGUCAGAGGCAGGGAAGAAACCUCCUAUUGAAAUCCUUCCUCCGGGUAUGUCGGCACUCUCAGCUUCAAUUACAGUUAAAAAGAAACCUGCUCCAGUGACUCAGACUUCACAACCACAAAGCAAACCAUUGGCAUUAGAAGCACCUCCUACUGGACCAGCUGAUGCACCCAUCGGUGGAGGACCUCCAAGUGCAUCUGCUGCAGUACCUGGCACACCAAUAGGAGCACCACCUUCUGAUGCACCAGAUGCAACACCUGGCACGCCAAUAGGAGCAGCAACUCCUGAUGCACCAGCUGUGGCGGCAACAGGUGCAGCACCCGCAUCCGAAGCAAGUGAACCUGCUCUAGUAGAAGAAGCUCCUAAUUCAUCAACAGGGAGCAAUCCGGAUCUGAUUGCUUCUGCAGAAAUGAACCCAGCAACAUCUGCAAGUGAUACAGAAGUACCAGAUUCAACUGUGAUAAAUAAACCAUUGGCAGAAGUACCACCUGUGACACCAGAUAACCAGGAAACAAGUAUUUCAUCUACGUUAACAAGCAGCCAGCCAUUUGUUUGAGUCUAUUGGGGCUAGCUCAUAAUGGUUUAUAUUGAUUCUUUUGGAGGCCAGGGAAUAGUUCAAUUUCAUUUGUCCUGUGAGAUGUUGUGAACUCGAAUAGAAGGGAUUGGUGUGAAUAUUAUCCGUCUUUGGACCAAGGGGGAGAAGAAACACCUUUUACUUGAUUUGUGGUAUAGUUUAAACCUAUACGACCAUGUCCCGUUCACGUCUUGAAUUUGAAGCAAACUAUCACGGUAAAAAAAAAAAAAAAGGCUUGGGAACUGUACACCUGACUUGUUUUUGUUGUACGAUUAGAUUGG
rnacentral:lncRNA from 1 species